CUACGGGGGGCACCAGUGGGGAAUAUUUCACAAUGGAGGAAACUCUGAUGCAGCAACGCCGCGUGGAGGAUGACACUUUUCGGAGCGUAAACUCCUUUUAUAUAAGAAGAAGAUGACGGUACUAUAUGAAUAAGCGCCGGCUAACUCCGUGCCAGCAGCCGCGGUAAUACGGAGGGCGCAAGCGUUACUCGGAAUCACUGGGCGUAAAGAGCGUGUAGGCGGAUUAAAAAGUCAGAAGUGAAAUCCUAUAGCUUAACUAUAGAACUGCUUCUGAAACUCUUAAUCUAGAAUAUGGGAGAGGUAGAUGGAAUUUCUGGUGUAGGGGUAAAAUCCGUAGAGAUCAGAAGGAAUACCGAUUGCGAAGGCGAUCUACUAGAACAUUAUUGACGCUGAGACGCGAAAGCGUGGGGAGCAAACAGGAUUAGAUACCCGGGUAGUC
rnacentral:rRNA from 1 species